rnacentral:lncRNA from 1 species
AAAGAUAAAAAGUAAUUUUGGUUGGGAGGAGGCUACGGGUAUAAUGAGUAUAGGAAGAAAAACGACAGUGGCAGGCGCGGAGGGAAUUACAGAGGGGAAUUGGCAAAUUCGAUUUUUGGCAGACGCAGAGUGAAAUUGGCAUAGUGGUUCUUGUCUUGAUCCGGAACCAUCAUCUAUUCUGGGGAGCAGAGAGAGAAGUUGGAUAUACAGAGAAUACCAAGGCUAUUCGAAGGGGGAUCCAUAUACACAAUUGAAAAGAGAAAAAAGAGAGGGAGGAGAAAACCAUCACGUUUCCAUCACCUUCACGAUAAUCAUCACUCCUCCAACGCUAACCACCAGACACCUCUCACAUUACUUACUAAGCAUUCCUCCAUUCCUCCCUUAUCAUCAAUCAAUCUUUGAUUCCUCCCUUCCAUCUGAUUCGAUACACUAAAAACCAGAGUAUCCACCAUUGUCCCCAACCUCAUCAACUCAACAGAAUCGUCAUCCCUGCCACAAUCACCCAUCACACACACGACAUUCCCUUUUGACUCACAACUCCUCUCUGCCCUCACGCAUAACCAUCACUCACCGGAAAAGAAAAAAAGCUCCUCCAUUCUCUGUCAAUGUUAACAAACUGAUAUCCACCAAUCACAGAGCCAGAUUCUCAAUCACAGAUCACGCCUUACCUUCUUCUUCCAUCUUCAU